GACGAACGCUGGCGGCGUGCUUAACACAUGCAAGUCGAACGGAAAGGCCCUGCUUUUGUUGGGUGCUCGAGUGGCGAACGGGUGUGUAACACGUGAGUAACCUGCCCUUGACUUUCGGAUAACUUCAGGAAACUGGGGCUAAUACCGGAUAGGAGCUCCUGCUGCAUGGUGUUGGUUGGAAAGUUUCGGCUGUUGGGGCUGGACUCGCGGCUUAUCAGCUUGUUGGUGGGGUAGUGGCUUACCAAGGCUUUGACGGGUAGCCGGCCUGAGAGGGUUACCGGCGACAUUGGGACUGAGAGACGGACCAGAAUCCUACGGGAGGCAGCAGUCGGGAAUAUUGCACAAUGGGCGGAAGCCUGAUGCAGCAACGCCGCGUGCGGGAUGACGGCCUUCGGGUUGUAAACAGCUUUCGCCUGUGACGAAGCGUGAGUGACGGUAAUGGGUAAAGAAGCAACGGCUAACUACGUG
rnacentral:rRNA from 1 species